UACAGAGGUCUCGAGCGUUAGGCGGAAUCACUGGGCUUAAAGCGUGUGUAGGCGGAUCGGUAAGUACCUUGUGAAAUCCCACAGCUUAACUGUGGAACUGCUUGGUAUACUGCCAGUCUUGAGCCACUUAGGGGUCAGCGGAACAAAUGGUGGAGCGGUGAAAUGCGUAGAUAUCAUUUGGAGCGCCAAUGGUGAAAACAGCUGACUGGGAGUGUGCUGACGCUGAGACACGAAAGCCAGGGGAGCGAACGGG
rnacentral:rRNA from 1 species